rnacentral:rRNA from 1 species
UACGAAGGGUGCAAACGUUGCUCGGAAUCAUUGGGCGUAAAGCGCACGUAGGCGGCCUGUUAAGUCGGAUGUGAAAUCCCUCGGCUCAACCGAGGACGUGCAUACGAAACUGGCAGGCUCGAGUAUGGAAGAGGGUUGCGGAAUUCCCGGUGUAGAGGUGAAAUUCGUAGAUAUCGGGAAGAACACCGGUGGCGAAGGCGGCUCGCUGGGCCAUUGCUGACGCUGAGGCGCGAAAGCGUGGGGAGCAAACAGG